CCAGCUCCAAUAGCGUAUAUUAAAGUUGUUGCAGUUAAAAAGCUCGUAGUUGAAUUUCUGGUGUGGCCUGCUGCGUCCGCUUCGGUGUGACGUGGUGGCUGCUCCAUCCUUGUCCGUAAGUGCCGAAAGGUGGCUGCGGGCAUCCUUUACUGUGAAAAAAUUAGAGUGUUUAAAGCAGGCAUUGCGCUUGAAUACAUUAGCAUGGAAUAAUGAGAUAGGACUUCGGUGCUAUUUUGUUGGUUGCGUACCGAGGUAAUGAUUAAUAGGGACAGUUGGGGGUAUUCAUAUUUAACUGUCAGAGGUGAAAUUCUUGGAUUUGUUAAAGAUGAACAACUGCGAAAGCAUUUACCAAGGAUGUUUUCA
rnacentral:rRNA from 1 species